rnacentral:rRNA from 1 species
UACGUAGGGUGCGAGCGUUAAUCGGAAUUACUGGGCGUAAAGCGUGCGCAGGCGGUUUUGUAAGCCAGAUGUGAAAUCCCCGGGCUCAACCUGGGAAUGGCAUUUGGGACUGCAAGGCUGGAGUUUGGCAGAGGAGACUGGAAUUCCUGGUGUAGCAGUGAAAUGCGUAGAUAUCAGGAGGAAUACCGAUGGCGAAGGCAGGUCUCUGGGCUAUAACUGACGCUCAUGCACGAAGGCGUGGGGAGCAAACAGG